rnacentral:piRNA from 1 species
GUGACAACGGCUAUGUUAGAGAAUGGG